rnacentral:rRNA from 1 species
UACGGGGGGGGCAAGCGUUGUUCGGAAUUACUGGGCGUAAAGGGCUCGUAGGUGGCCAACUAAGUCAGACGUGAAAUCCCUCGGCUUAACCGGGGAACUGCGUCUGAUACUGGAUGGCUGGAGUAUGGGAGAGGAAUGCGGAAUUCCAGGUGUAGCGGUGAAAUGCGUAGAUAUCUGGAGGAACACCGGUGGCGAAGGCGGCAUUCUGGACCAUUACUGACGCUGAGGAGCGAAAGCCAGGGGAGCAAAGCGGG